UCCUCGUUAGUAUAUUGGACAGUAUCUCCGCCUGUCACGCGGAAGACGGGGGUUCGAUUCCCUGAUGAGGAG
rnacentral:tRNA from 1 species